GAUUUCUCAUCCUCUGAAGCACCAGAGUAGCUACCACGAGUUCACCUACUGCUGCUACGUGGGAAUGCCUGCAGCAGGCACGAGACUCACACAUUAUGGGGACAUCUCAGGUUCUGCCUGGCAUACUGCAGAAGCAUUGCUGUAUUUUGCCUGACAGGAACACAGCUUUACACUCUCAAAUUAAAGCUUAAAAACCUCCAAGGAAGGAAAGGAGGCCAGAUUGGAGGGGGAGGAGGUGAGAGGAAGGAAGCGGGUGGAGAAAACCACUAUAUUCCCAAGAUGCAAGGAAAGUUGAAAAGUAGAAGAAAAAAUAUAUUAAAUCAGUGUAAACUAAGAGAUGAGGAAGGAUAAUGUUUGUUUUACUAAAAUAAGAAGAGGAAGCAUAAAAACAUGGAGAAGCC
rnacentral:lncRNA from 1 species